rnacentral:rRNA from 1 species
GAUGAACGCUGGCGGCGUGUUUAACACAUGCAAGUCGAGCGAGAAAUCCUUCAGUUGAAUCUUCGGAAGAAAACUGAAAGAUGGAAAGCGGCGGACGGGUGAGUAACGCGUAGGCAACCUGCCCUUUGCAGAGGGAUAGCCUCGGGAAACCGGGAUUAAAACCUCAUAAUACGGAAGCAAGACAUCUUACUUUUGUCAAAGAUUUAUCGGCAAAGGAUGGGCCUGCGUCUGAUUAGUUAGUUGGUAGGGCAACGGCCUACCAAGGCGACGAUCAGUAGCCGACCUGAGAGGGUGAUCGGCCACAUUGGAACUGAGACACGGUCCAAACUCCUACGGGAGGCAGCAGUGGAGAAUCUUGCACAAUGGGGGAAACCCUGAUGCAGCAACGCCGCGUGAAGGAAGAAGGCCCUUGGGUCGUAAACUUCUGUUCUAAGGGAAGAUAAUGACGGUACCUUAGGAGCAAGUCCCGGCUAACUACGUGCCAGCCGCCGCGGUAAGAC